CCUACGGGGGACAGCAGUGAGGAAUAUUGGUCAAUGGACGAGAGUCUGAACCAGCCAAGUAGCGUGAAGGAUGACUGCCCUAUGGGUUGUAAACUUCUUUUAUAUGGGAAUAAAAUGUUCCACGUGUGGGAUUUUGUAUGUACCAUAUGAAUAAGGAUCGGCUAACUCCGUGCCAGCAGCCGCGGUAAUACGGGGGAUCCGAGCGUUAUCCGGAUUUAUUGGGUUUAAAGGGAGCGUAGGUGGAUUGUUAAGUCAGUUGUGAAAGUUUGCGGCUCAACCGUAAAAUUGCAGUUGAAACUGGCAGUCUUGAGUACAGUAGAGGUAAGCGGAAUUCGUGGUGUAGCGGUGAAAUGCUUAGAUAUCACGAAGAACUCCGAUUGCGAAGGCAGUUCACUGGACUGCAACUGACACUGAGGCUCGAAAGUGUGGGUAUCAAACAGGAUUAGAUACCCGUGUAGUC
rnacentral:rRNA from 1 species